rnacentral:rRNA from 1 species
GACGAACGCUGGCGGCGUGCUUAACACAUGCAAGUCGAGCGGUAAGGCCCUUUCGGGGGUACACGAGCGGCGAACGGGUGAGUAACACGUGGGUGACCUGCCCUUAGCUCUGGGAUAAGCCUGGGAAACUGGGUCUAAUACCGGAUAUGACUCCAUGACGCAUGUUGUGGGGUGGAAAGCCUUGUGCGGCUAGGGAUGGGCCCGCGGCCUAUCAGCUUGUUGGUGGGGUGAUGGCCACCAAGGCGACGACGGGUAGCCGGCCUGAGAGGGCGACCGGCCACACUGGGACUGAGACACGGCCAGACUCCUACGGGAGGCAGCAGUGGGGAAUCUUCGCGAC